GACGAACGCUGGCGGCGUGCUUAACACAUGCAAGUCGAACGGAAAGGCCCUGCUUGCCGGGUACUCGAGUGGCGAACGGGUGAGUAACACGUGGGUGAUCUGCCCUGCACUUCGGGAUAAGCCUGGGAAACUGGGUCUAAUACCGGAUAGGAGCCAUUUUUAGUGUGAUGGUUGGAAAGUUUUUUCGGUGUAGGAUGAGCUCGCGGCCUAUCAGCUUGUUGGUGGGGUAAUGGCCUACCAAGGCGGCGACGGGUAGCCGGCCUGAGAGGGUGGACGGCCACAUUGGGACUGAGAUACGGCCCAGACUCCUACGGGAGGCAGCAGUGGGGAAUAUUGCACAAUGGGCGCAAGCCUGAUGCAGCGACGCCGCGUGGGGGAUGACGGCCUUCGGGUUGUAAAUGCCUUUCGCUAGGGACGAAGCUUUUUGUGACGGUACCUAGAGAAGAAGCACCGGCUAACUACGUG
rnacentral:rRNA from 1 species